rnacentral:lncRNA from 1 species
GGUAUAAUAGAAAAAAUUGGAUAAAAAUUUGAUUAGUAAAGGAAAGUGAACAUUUAACGUGAAACUACCAAAAAUACAAGCAAAAAUUUUCACUGUUUAAUCUUUAUUGCUAGAAGAUGUAUCAAAAAAAGAAGAGGGUAAUCCACACCUCAUCUUUAAUCAGAUUUUAAACAACAAAGAAGCUUUAAUCCACUAACUAAUGAUGUGAACAAAAAUUAUCCUACAUAUAAAAGUCAUCAUCCAGUUUAGCUGAAUUUUAGCCGACGAAAUCAAACAAAAACACCAGAAGCAAGGAGCAAGAACAAGGAUCCAAAACCCUGCACCAAGGAUAUCAGAUUCAGCACUGAAAUCGGAUAUCAGCAAAUAUUUAAUAUGCGUUAAAUUAGGGCAUAAAGAACUGCUAACAUACCAAGAAGACUGACGCGGCUACUCCUGUUGUGAACUCCUUAGCUAGACUGCUUCAUAUCUACAAAAAAUAUUUACUGCUAUAAACAAGUAUGACUUGUAAAGGGAAACUAGAUCCAAGAGUAGUGCAAAAGUUGGUGUCAAAAUAAUUCACUUUUAUAUUUGUAAAGUGUAAUAGCAAAUAUAUUUUUUCAUUUAUAAGUAAAAUAAUAAAUUCAAAUUAUAAUUAUAUUUAUUAUAAAGCUAAUUAUUACUUGAAUUUGAAGCUUGCGAGUAGUUUGAAUAAAUAUUCAAGUUGAGUCGAGUCGAAUCUGAAUAGAAUUUUUCAAAUAUAAUUCGAAAUUCGAGUAUGAAUUUAAAGUUUCGAGUCGAAUUCGAAUAGUUCUCAGUUCGCUUCGGUUUGACUCGUUUACACCUUAUAUCUAACUCUUCCUCAAACUCCAGAACCAGUUGUCCUACAUCAGCUUUUUACCCAAGUAAAUAUUUUAAUUUCAUGAAACAAUUUAGAUUAAUACAGGCAAACAACAAGACAUUUCCAUUUUUUCCCUAGUUCAUUUUUAAAUUGUUAAAGGGUAUUAAUUGCAUCGCAUCCAUGUAAUUCACUUUAAUUGAGCAAGCAUACUAGUGUGAGCAGAAGCCAAGUAUCUUGUGGUCAAUUAUAUUGACUCAUACUCAUCAUUUACUGAAUAAUUUUGUUGCAUCAUGAAGCUAUUUCACUAAAAAAAAUUAAACCACAUUAGUAACCCCACUGCCCUGUUAAUCAGCUCAGUCUCAAGCUGGAUAGCUGUAGAAUUCUACCUUUUAUACCAAUAAAAUAAUUCAUUUCAAAUAACUAGGGGGAGCUGCACAGAAGUAAUCUCAAGUACAAUAAGCAUAAAAGUUAAACAGCUUGUUCACACCUAUUAUCUUAGGAUCAUUAAACAGCUUGGUCGUGCUCGUUCAAAUGACCUUGUCAGAUGAGCUUAUACCUCUGUACAAGGAAGGUUUUAUGAAUAUGCAGCAAUAUUACCAAAGAGUGAUGAAUAAGUGCAAUGAUUGAAGCUUUCAAUUUUCAAAAAGGUAGAGAAGUUGGGUGGGAAUAGAUAGUAUUAAAUUAAUAGUCGUAAAAAGCAUACAAAAAAAGUUAGAAAUAUGUAAUUUAUAACUUUUCACAUCCAACAUCUGACGGAUCAUCGAAAAUCACUUAAUAUACGGCUAGUCGGUUACAGUUAAAUGCAUACUUUACAAACAAAAUCUUUUACUAAACAUGGUUGUGAGUUAAGAUGUCUAGACACACAAUCAAGAUUACACCACUGUUUAUUUAUAUUUAAGCUUCAACAAGAGGUAGAAAAUCACUUCAGGUGGUUAAGGCAAUAUCAGAGUAAAUUAAUUGCUACACUAGUUAGGGUAAUAUGAAUCUAGUAUAAAACACUGAAGAAUAAGAACAUGCGAGAUUUUGAGCAUGUAGCCAAACAUUUUACAUAAAAUGUGAUCCUAAAUGUUACAUUUGAUCAACAAAAUGAACUAUACAACGAGUCAGAUUCCAACAUUUUGGACAGACAGAUAGAAAGGAAAAACGUUCCUCGAAAAAUCUCAAGAGUUAACUUGGAAGUACAAUCCAUGAUUUAGAAACCAUAUGGUCCAUUAGUCCAUAACACCUGCUUAUAAACCAAUUAGUCUUGCCAGUUACCUCCAAAUUUAUGUGUACUUCUUCUCAAUGUCAGAUGCAGUGAAAAACAUUCAAAUAAAACUGCAUUAAGAAAUAAUGGCUAAUUGACUUGUAAAGGGAAUUGGGGCUACAAAUGCCACAAAUCCAGAGCAGGGGAUUGAAAUGAAAUUCACCUCUUUAGUUAGUAUUUUAAAACAAAAGAAUAAAUCAAUUUUCAUUCGACAACAAUUAUAUACGCUUUCAGAGAAAUACUAUGGAAAACAACUCUACUUCCAGAAAGACCUGAAAAUUAUUUUAUAAACCAUUUUCUACACAAAACAAGAAACAAUAGGUCUUGCUUGGCUACUAAGAUCUCUAUUUUUCAUUUAAGCAUAUACAAAUUUUGUAUUUUUUGCCUUCCCAACUGAACUAUUUCACGAAAUAUCUUUUUGAAAAUGGUAACUGAGCUCAUUCUCUUCAAAAAGUUGUUAAAUUGUUCACAAUCUUAAUUACAUUUUUCCUAAGCAAAUCAAUACACAUCCAACUGAAUAACAACAAUGUACAAAAAGAUUACAAGUGCAACAUGAUUACUUCAGUAAAUGGAAAUUGUAAAACAAUAUAAAAAAAAAAAUCAGAACAACAUGCAAUAAUUGCCAAUUUUACAAUUGCAAUUGUCCAGAAUUGUUUAGCCAAACUUGAAGGAAAAAAGUCAGGAUCAGGGUCAGCUCACUCACAUAAAGAAGGAAGCGGUGACAAUAAGACCGAUCGCGAGCAUGAAAACAGCUAGGGUCGGGUACCAAGCGUCUGGGACAGGACUCGAGAUUGGUUUCACUGUCUGAGCCUUCAAAAAAUCGAAAAUAUAAAAAUAAAAAACAAUUGUGAAUCAGAAUCAGAAAGGAAGAUCACAUUUCAAAUCGGAAUAGAGAGUAAUUGAGAUAAAACCCUAAAAAUUUCGUAUUUACCAUUUUAGACUGACAGAUAGAUCUCCCUUCGCUCUCGGAACUCUCCGUAAUCUGAAGACUGGACUGACUCCUGUUGAGAAAAAUACUCAUUUUAUAAGUUGCUCAAAACAACUUAUAAGUAAGUUGUUAGUGUUUG